rnacentral:rRNA from 1 species
CCUACGGGUGACUGCAGUAGGGAAUAUUGCUCAAUGGGGGAAACCCUGAAGCAGCAACGCCGCGUGGAGGAUGAAGGUUUUCGGAUUGUAAACUCCUUUUUUUAGAGAAGUUAAUGACGGUAUCUAACGAAUAAGCACCGGCUAACUCCGUUCCAGCAGCCGCGGUAAUACGGAGGGUGCAAGCGUUACUCGGAAUCACUGGGCGUAAAGAGCGCGUAGGCGGGAUAGCAAGUCAGAUGUGAAAUCCUAAGGCUUAACCAUAGAACUGCAUUUGAAACUGUUAUUCUAGAGUAUGGGAGAGGGAGGGGGAAUUCGUGGUGUAGGGGUAAAAUGCGUAGAGAACAAGAAGAAUACUCAUUGCGAAGGCGGCCGGCUAGAACACAACUGACGCUGAUGCGCGAAAGCGUGGGGAGCAAACAGGAUUAGAUACCCGGGUAGUC